UACGUAGGGGGCUAGCGUUGUCCGGAUUUAUUGGGCGUAAAGGGUGCGUAGGCGGUUGGGUAAGUCUGAUGUGAAAUCUCACAGCUUAACUGUGAAACUGCAUUGGAUACUAUCCGGCUAGAGGAAUGGAGGGGAGACUGGAAUACUUGGUGUAGCAGUGAAAUGCGUAGAUAUCAAGUGGAACACCAGUGGCGAAGGCGAGUCUCUGGACAUUUCCUGACGCUGAGGCACGAAAGCCAGGGGAGCAAACGGG
rnacentral:rRNA from 1 species